rnacentral:rRNA from 1 species
UACGAAGGGGGCUAGCGUUGCUCGGAUUGACUGGGCGUAAAGGGCGCGUAGGCGGUUUGUACAGUCAGACGUGAAAUUCCCGGGCUCAACCUGGGGGCUGCGUUUGAUACGUGUAGACUUGAGUUCGGAAGAGGGUCGUGGAAUUCCCAGUGUAGAGGUGAAAUUCGUAGAUAUUGGGAAGAACACCGGUGGCGAAGGCGGCGACCUGGUCCGGUACUGACGCUGAGGUGCGAAAGCGUGGGGAGCAAACAGG